rnacentral:snRNA from 1 species
GUCUCUUCGGGGACAUCCGAUAAAAAUGGAAGAAGAUUUGUAUGGCCGCUGCGCAAGGAUGACACGCACAAAUCGAGAAAUGGUUCAAAUUUUU